rnacentral:lncRNA from 1 species
GGGGAGGCCGGGGCUGAGGGGCGAGGACCGAGGAGCGCGCGGAGGAGCGGGGUGAAGCAGUCCCACGCGGGUAUGGGAGAGAAUGAAGUUCUUUGUCUCUAAGGGAUUCAAACCAGAAACGGAGGGACCUCUGGUUCCCAGAGGGAGGAAAAUCCAUGAUGUCUGCUGCCCAGGGAGCUAUUGCCACCGCCUCCUUGGGAUGAAGUAUUGCCAGCUACCAACAGUUCCUUCCCAACGGCCAUCUUCCAGCCUUCUUAAACGACUCCUAGCAUCUUCGGGAGGCUCCUGAAGGACUGAAGCAAAGGAAAUCUCUGAAGGGAUUUAGUCCUUGAAAGGGAGUAGGGAUACUUAGGGUGUUCUGUGUUGAGCGCUUCUUCCUAUCUCUCCAGCUUCAUGUAUGUGUGUCUUUAUGUCCAAGCAAUUGAGCCAACAAGUCCUCAGAAUUCCUUGUGAAAAAAACGUUUUUUUUUUUUGAGACGGAUUCUCACUCUGUCGCCCAGGCUGGAGUGCAAUGGUGAAAUUCAGCUCACUGCAACCUCCGCCUCCGGGGUUCAAGCGAUUCUCCUGCCUCAGCCUCCCGAGUAGCUGGGAUUACAGUCACGCGCCACCACGCCCAGCUAAUUUUGUAUUUUUAGUAGAGACAGGAUUUCUCCUUGGUCAGGCUGGUCUGGAACUCCCGACUUCAGGUGAUCCGCCCGCCUCGGCCUCCCAAAGUGGUGGGAUUACAGGUGUGAGCCACCGUGCCCAGCCCUGAAAUAGUCUUAAUUGCUUGUUUUUCUUUUUUGUCUGAGGUGUGCUUUUUAAAAUCUCUAUGGAGAUGGAGAAGACUGACAUUCUCUGGCCUGAUGUGAAAACCUCUCAUUAAAACUGUGUCUGUGCUUUGUGGGCUGAAAGCAUGAAACACUGGAAAUUUUAAACAAACGUAUGUGAAUGUGUUAAGAAGCCAAGAGUCCGGCCCUCUUUCACCAGACUGUAUGGCCUCAGAUCAGCAAGGGAAGUAUUGAGCUUAGGGACACCAAGUAAUGGAGUGA